GCAAGUCGAGCGAGAAAGCACUUCGGUGCGAGUAGAGCGGCGGACGGGUGAGUAACGCGCAGGAAUCUACCCAGUGGUGGGGGACAACUUGGGGAAACUCAAGCUAAUACCGCAUACGCCCUACGGGGGAAAGCGGGGGACCUUCGGGCCUCGCGCCAUUGGAUGAGCCUGCGUUGGAUUAGCUAGUUGGUGGGGUAAAGGCCUACCAAGGCAUCGAUCAGUAGCUGGUCUGAGAGGAUGAUC
rnacentral:rRNA from 1 species